CACGUAGGGGGCGAGCGUUGUCCGGAUUUAUUGGGCGUAAAGAGCUCGUAGGCGGCUCAGUAAGUCAGGUGUGAAAACUCCAGGCUCAACCUGGAGACGCCACUUGAUACUGCUGUGGCUAGAGUCCGGUAGGGGAGCAUGGAAUUCCUGGUGUAGCGGUGAAAUGCGCAGAUAUCAGGAGGAACACCAGUGGCGAAGGCGGUGCUCUGGGCCGGUAUUGACGCUGAGGCGCGAAAGCUAGGGGAGCAAACGGG
rnacentral:rRNA from 1 species